AACCAUCUUCUACCUCCCAAAAACCAUCCAUCCCCCCAAAAUCAUGGCUUCUUCAUUAUUGCUAUCCAUCCUAUCUCCUUUUUGUGUCUUCUUCUUCUUCUCCUCGCUCUUCUUGAUUGGCACCACUUCAUUUCAUGAGGCAAGAGUUUCCACUUCCUCCACUUCUUUUUCCACUAUCCACACGACUAGGAAUAAGGAUGAAGUAGAGGCUCUCUUGAAUUGGAAAUCUACUUU
rnacentral:lncRNA from 1 species